GAUGAACGCUGGCGGCGUGCCUAAUACAUGCAAGUCGAGCGAACGGACGAGAAGCUUGCUUCUCUGAUGUUAGCGGCGGACGGGUGAGUAACACGUGGAUAACCUACCUAUAAGACUGGGAUAACUUCGGGAAACCGUAGCUAAUACCGGAUAAUAUUUUGAACCGCAUGGUUCAAAAGUGAAAGACGGUCUUGCUGUCACUUAUAGAUGGAUCCGCGCUGCAUUAGCUAGUUGGUAAGGUAACGGCUUACCAAGGCAACGAUGCAUAGCCGACCUGAGAGGGUGAUCGGGCAAACUGGAACUGAGACACGGUCCAGACUCCUACGGGAGGCAGCAGUAGGGAAUCUUCCGCAAUGGGCGAAAGCCUGACGGAGCAACGCCGCGUGAGUGAUGAAGGUCUUCGGAUCGUAAAACUCUGUUAUUAGGGAAGAACAUAUGUGUAAGUAACUGUGCACAUCUUGACGGUACCUAAUCAGAAAGCCACGGCUAACUACGU
rnacentral:rRNA from 1 species